rnacentral:rRNA from 1 species
CAAGUAGAUAGUGAAAGCCUGGGGCUCAACCCUUUAAACAUUAUCUAAACUGCUAAGCUAGAAUAUGAGAGAGGUCGCUGGAAUUCCUAGUGUAGGAGUGAAAUCCGUAGAUAUUAGGAGGAACACCGAUGGCGUAGGCAGGCGACUGGCUCAUUAUUGACGCUAAGGCACGAAAGCGUGGUAGCAAACGGGAUUAGAUACCCCGGUAGUCCACGCCGUAAACUAUGGAUGCUA